rnacentral:rRNA from 1 species
UACAGAGGUCUCAAGCGUUGUUCGGAUUCAUUGGGCGUAAAGGGUGCGUAGGCGGCGCGGUAAGUCGGGUGUGAAAUCUCGGGGCUUAACUCCGAAACUGCAUUCGAUACUGCCGUGCUUUGAGGACUGGAGAGGAGACUGGAAUUUACGGUGUAGCGGUGAAAAUGCGUAGAUAUCGUAAGGAAGACCAGUGGCGAAGGCGGGGUCUCUGGACA